CACAGAGUUAGCCGGUGCUUCCUCACCCGGUACCGUCAAUCCUGACGAAUCAGGAAGUUCGUCCCGGGCAACAGGGGUUUACAAGCCGAAACCCGUCAUCCCCCACGCGGCGUCGCUGCGUCAGGCUUUCGCCCAUUGCGCAAGAUUCCCCA
rnacentral:rRNA from 1 species